GCCCCAAUAGCUCAGUGGUUUAGAGCACUGGUUUCGUAAACCAGGAGCCGUGAGUUCGAAUCUCACUUGGGGCA
rfam:Octopus bimaculoides Scaffold72581_contig_50, whole genome shotgun sequence.